GACGAACGCUGGCGGCGUGCUUAACACAUGCAAGUCGAACGAUGAUGCCCAGCUUGCUGGGUGGAUUAGUGGCGAACGGGUGAGUAACACGUGAGUAGCCUGCCCCUGACUCUGGGAUAAGCGUUGGAAACGACGUCUAAUACUGGAUAUGACUGCCGGCCGCAAGGUCUGGGGGUGGAAAGAUUUUUUGGUUGGGGAUGGACUCGCGGCCUAUCAGCUUGUUGGUGAGGUAAUGGCUCACCAAGGCGACGACGGGUAGCCGGCCUGAGAGGGUGACCGGCCACACUGGGACUGAGACACGGCCCAGACUCCUACGGGAGGCAGCAGUGGGGAAUAUUGCACAAUGGGCGAAAGCCUGAUGCAGCAACGCCGCGUGAGGGAUGACGGCCUUCGGGUUGUAAACCUCUUUUAGUAGGGAAGAAGCGUAAGUGACGGUACCUGCAGAAAAAGCACCGGCUAACUACGUGCCAGCCGCCGCAGUAAUAC
rnacentral:rRNA from 1 species